rnacentral:lncRNA from 1 species
GUUGGGCGCCGCUUGGAGCGCCUCUUCCCCUGCUGUGUGUGUACGUGUGCACGCUCACGUCUCCCCCGCGCCGGGGCCGGGGACAGGAACUGCUCUCGGUCCCGUCACCCCACGGCGCAGCUCGGGGGGCUCGCAGGGCUGGGGGAGGGCGGGGACACGAGCGCCGCGCCCAAGCGCCCCAGGGCACGCACCCGGCGUUGGCGCGCACUCGCCCCUCCCCCCGUCCCCACCCUCCUCCUGGAGAACAGAGAAAAGAAGAUGACCAUCUUCUCCUGAACAAAAUUAUGAACUGUCAGAGGUUUCAAAGGUAAUAAGUUUUAUGAUGCAAGUGGAAGAAGAACCAGAAGUAAUGAUGAGCUAGAACUUAUCAGAGAUUUCCUUGAAAUCAGGACUUGGUGUUUAUAAGAUGGGUCUGUCCCAGGCUUAUGCAUGACAGCUGGUGAGCAGUUAGUUGCAUGCAGAGGACAUUGCUCAUUUUGGGCCUAUCUACACUCAAAACCAGGAAAAUAUGCUGUGAAAAUUUGCUAUUACUAACGUCUCUAAUAAAGUUUUAAAAAACGA